GGGCGGGGCGCGGGCCCUGGGUAGGUUCCUGUGGUAUUAGGUGGACUGGAGAAAGAGGCCCGCGUGAAUUAAGUGUAGUUCUCUUAUGCACUGGCGGACUCUGGUCGCCCUUCCUUGUGAAGGCUGCCUGGGUAGCCGUAGAGGACGAGGCCACUCUAAAGCCUCGUUUUCCCAGCGGAAUUUUAACUAUUCUAAGGAUGUCCUUACAGCCAGUUCCCCACUCCGCUACUCAGAGUGUGUCAGACUUUACCCUGUCCAUUCAACUCCAGAAAAACCGGGAGGUCUAGAUUCGGAAGAUUAAAUUUACCUUUGAAUUAGGACAUGUAAAAUAGGAAGUUAAUAUUAGCAUCCUAAUGACAAAAGUUUUCUCGUUAUCAUACUUGACUCAAAUGGGAAUCUUACGGAUAUUAAUGUUUUUUCCAGAAACAGGUUUGAAAGGUAUUUCAAGGAUAAAUCUGGGGAAAGGGAUGGAAGCAACUGAUUUUUAAUUUUUAGAUAGUACUCUCAGAGCAUUUAUUUAGUCCAAAACUGUUAAUUUAAUGAAUUAGGCUAAACUAGACGCUGGGGUAACAAAGCUGAGUUAGAUACCCUCUCCUCUGAGGCAGCUAAAGAGAAGGAAAGUCUGGUGGCUGACAAGUAAACCAACAGUUAUGUUCUUCAGAGAGGAGAUCUCAGACUCUCUAAGCAAAAGAAACUAAUAGCUGUAUGACAACAGCCAAAGAGUAAAUAUCCUUUCAAGUCCAAUCCUGCCUAAGAUGUCAAAAUCAAGAAUGAAGAGGUUAUGUGCUGAAACAGAAUGACCUUCACAAGAUGCAGCCUCUGGAUCUUGGACUUCCCCAGCCUCCAGAACUUGAGUGCACCACAGUUAUUGUCAUAUACAGAAAAUUCUGACUGACAGUUCCAGAGCUUUUUGGCAUCAGAGAAAGUCAAGUACUGUGUUACCUCUUUCUAUGACUCCCAAGAGAAUAAUCCAGCACAACUACUCAGUAUCUUGGAAGAAGGCCUUAUGACUUUGGAGAGCCUUCUUUCUCACCUACACAGCCUUACAGCAUUCCCCUGUAUUCUCCUGUUCUAAGUUUCUCUCCCUUAUUUAAAUUCUAACUUCAAAUGUAACAGUUGACUAAUGUUAAAAUUAAUUUCCAAAAGAAGUUCAUUAAUUGAUCAAGUUAAAGAAUUUCCUUCUAUAUUUACGUGAAUUUAGGUUGAAUAAAUUUCAUAUUUUUAGGGAAAUAUCUAGGAAGCAUUAAAAAUAACAGUUGACAUUGAGAUAUUUAGUAAACAAAAUCAUUCUAGUUUCUUCUGUCUUGCCCCCUCCCAUCUUAUUUGCCAUAACCUAUAAAUUUAGCCAAAAUGCAGCAAGUCUAAUUCAUUUAUAAGCAGUUGACAUUCAAAGGUUAUCCUCAUUGAUGUCUAAAUUUUUAUGAUGUGUUUCUGCUACUGUAUUACAAUUCUGAAUUCCGUAUCAAAUUUAUUAAAUUUUUUUAUUGCUAAA
rnacentral:lncRNA from 1 species